CCCCAAUCGGGGUCGACUAGCCAUGCGAGUCAAUGUUCUUCGUGAACAUGGCGUACUGCGUCAGUAACACGUGGAUAACCUGCCCUUAGGACUGGCAUAACCCCGGGAAACUGGGGAUAAUUCCGGAUAGUUCAUGGUAGCUGGAAUGCUCCAUGAUCGAAAGCUAUUGCGCCUAAGGAUGGGUCUGCGGUCUAUCAGGUAGUAGUGGGUGUAAUGUACCUACUAGCCGACGACGGAUACGGGUUGUGGGAGCAAGAGCCCGGAGAUGGAUUCUGAGACAUGAAUCCAGGCCCUACGGGGCGCAGCAGGCGCGAAAACUUUACAAUGCGGGAAACCGCGAUAAGGGGACACCGAGUGCCAGCAUCUUAUGUUGGCUGUCCGCAUGUAUAAAUCACAUGUGUUAGCAAGGGCCGGGCAAGACCGGUGCCAGCCGCCGCGGUAACACCGGCGGCCCGAGUGGUGGCCACUAUUAUUGGGUCUAAAGGGUCCGUAGCCGGUUUGGUCAGUCUUCCGGGAAAUCUGACGGCUUAACCGUUAGGCUUUCGGGGGAUACUACCAGGCUUGGGACCGGGAGAGGUAAGAGGUACUACGGGGGUAGGAGUGAAAUCUUGUAAUCCUCGUGGGACCACCAGUGGCGAAGGCGUCUUACCAGAACGGGUCCGACGGUGAGGGACGAAAGCUGGGGGCACGAACCGGAUUAGAUACCCGGGUAGUCCCAGCCGUAAACUAUGCUCGCUAGGUGUCAGGGACGGUGCGACCGUUUCUGGUGCCGCAGGGAAGCCGUGAAGCGAGCCACCUGG
rnacentral:rRNA from 1 species